AUUUACCCAAGUCUGCGUUAGGGAUAGAAGCGGCAUCCUUUUGUGACAAAUGUUGGUUCUUAAUUAACAAUGAUAUUUCCUGGAACAAAAGAUAUAGCGGAUAGCCCGGCCGGAG
rnacentral:sRNA from 1 species